UACAGCUCACUUCAUUGGAUGCAUUCCGAUGAAGUGAGCUGUAGCUCACGAAAGCUUAUGCUCAAAUACAUUGGUUAGUCUCUAAGGUUCCACAAGUACUCCUUUUCUUCUUUGUCAAGGCAGAUUCUCACUCCUUACUCGGGCGCUGGGAGUCCUCAAUUUCUAGUUCAGCUGUGUUGGGGGUUGUUGUUGGCCAGAUUGCGGGGCUGAGCUUUUCAAAGCUGCCUAAGAGACUUGGACGCCCAUUACUAUGAAUGUGGGUCAGGUGUCUGAAGCCCCACAGCUGGCUUUGCAAAACCUCAGCCUUUCUGUUUCACAUGAGCUUGAUUUGGUGGAAGGAUCCUGGGAGCACAAGCGUUGAUGUGCCAGAUGCCCUGGAGACUUGGUUUCCUGCCUCCAAGAAUGGCCAAUAUGUGGAAAGCGGCAAAAGACAAAAAAAAAAAAAAAAAAAGAGAGUGCACCUUGCCAAUUGUGCAGUGAUGUGCUGGAUUCUCCAUUGACCCUUAUGGUGAUGGAGUGAGGUCCUGAAGCAUGUGAUUGGAUUGCAGUUAGCAUAAGUACAAAUGCUAUUUAAUGGUCAGACAGUUAUCCAGCCACAGUAAUGAUAAUAAAAAUAGCCUGGAUUCCUCUCUCCCCCACCUAGGUCUGCAUGUAGAACUCCCCCUACCUGUGCAGAGAUGGCGUCAGACACCAUCCCUUCCCCCUGAGGAUCCCAGCGAGGUGCCAUGGCAAGUGGGGCAGGCUGGGGGGGGUGGUUGGGAAUGGGCAUGUAGGUAUGUCAUAUCCCCUCCUCUUGAUAGCUCAGUGGUUUGAGCAUGGGCCUGCUAAACCCAGGGUUGUGAGCUCAAUCCUUGAGGGGGCCAUUUAGGGAUCUGGGGCAAAUAUUGGGGAUUGGCCCUGUUUUGAGCAUGAGGUUGGACUAGAUGACCUCCUGAGGUCCCUUCCAACCCUGAUAUUCUAUGAUUCUUGUCCCACGAGGAUUCCCUGAAGAAGACAAUGCAGCAUGGGGCUGUGUUAUUUUUUGUGGAGAGCUAAGGGGAGGGUUCAGAUGGCCGUGGGGCCAGAGACCAUGCAGAAGCAAAGGGCCUCUGCCCAGAUGGCCCCGCUGUCCCAUGGAUCCUGAGCAUCUGCCAGAUUUGGGAACAGGUGAAGAAACCCCAUCCCCAGCUAAAAGUAAGGGGAAGAGCUCCAUCACUGUGGCUCUUUGUGGAGAUUUCCUCUCACACAGACCUUUCCUGCUUGCUGCGCUGCAGGAAAAAGUGACCCAGGACAGUGUCUCAAAACCUUUUGUCAACAUGGAUGAAGCUACCGUCCCAGCACUCCUAUGAGGUAGGGGAGCUUCAUUAACCCAUCUGAGCAGGUCACAGAAGACAGAGAGAAGGUAAGUGACUGGCCCAAGGUGACACAGCAAAUCUGUUGGAAAAGCUUGAAUCGAGCCCAGGUCUCUUGACUACAAGUCGUGUGCCUUAACGUCAAACCCAUCCUUCCUAUUCCAGACAGCAUUUGCCUCUAUGAUCUUCCCCUGCAGUGGUGAAUCCAACAAGUUGACUGCACAAUGGAUUGCCUGUGAUUUGUCAGCCAACAAUUUCAAUGGUCAAGUGAAGGUCACUGGUCCUGGCAGAGGGCAGGGCUGGCUGAGGGGGAGACGGCCCCAUGCAGCCCUGCUGGAGGGCUCCUCGCUGACCUUGGUGGACAGAGUUGCCUCCCAGCAGGGCCGAAGGGUUGGAUUGAGCCGGCUGGUUUCGCCAUCCUGUUUAUGAGGAUGAGCCUCCGCGGUUGGAGAAAGGAGACCCCUGGGGUCACGGAGUGGGGCAUGCACCAGGACAAUCCAACUAAGGUACCUAACAAAAUUAUUACAGUUAAUAAAUAAGGAUAAUGGUGAUGAAUGCACUGGGCGUGGUCAGGCUGAGUAAAGUUCUACACUUAAAGCAGGGAGUCACCAUCUUUGUUGCUGCUGAUGCUAAUAAUAAUUAGAGAUGCUAAAACAAAACUUGUCUUUAG